AUCCGGAAUCUUAGCGCGGACUCCCAGCGCCGCUUUUCUCUGCGUCCUUGCACAUGCGCGUCUGCUUUUCCCUUAUUGCUCCACUUCCACUGGCUUCUACGGUCCGGGGAGCCGCCGUCAGCGCCGCGGAGGAGUCAGGAAGUUCAAGAUGGCCGCCGUGGAGCCCCCGUCGCUGCGGGAACAGCCCGAGAUGGAAGAUGCUGAUAAUUCUGAAAAGAGUGUGAAUGAAGAAAAUGGAGAAGUAUCAGAAGACCAGUCUCAAAAUAAACACAGUCGACACAAAAAAAAGAAGCAUAAACACAGAAGUAAACAUAAGAAACAUAAGCAUUCCUCAGAAGAAGACAAAGAUAAAAAACAUAAGCAUAAGCAUAAACAUAAGAAACACAAAAGAAAAGAAAUUAUUGAUGCUUCUGACAGAGAAGGUAUGUCUCCCACAAAAAGAACUAAACUUGAUGAUUUAGCUUUGCUAGAAGACUUGGAAAAACAGAGAGCCUUGAUUAAAGCUGAACUGGAUAAUGAGUUAAUGGAAGGAAAGGUCCAGUCUGGGAUGGGGCUCAUUUUGCAGGGUUAUGAGUCUGGCUCUGAAGAAGAAGGAGAGAUUCAUGAAAAGGCAAGAAAUGGAAAUAGGUCUAGUACUAGAUCUUCAAGUACAAAGGGGAAACUUGAACUUAUGGACAAUAAAAACAGCACAAAAAAACGAAGUAAAAGCAGAUCCAAAGAACGGACUAGACAUAGGUCAGAUAAAAAGAAAAGCAAGGGAGGCAUUGAGAUGGCAAAAGAGAAGACAAACAGAAGCAAGUCAAAGGAGAGGAAGAAGUCCAAAAGUCCGUCCAAAAGAAGUAAGUCUCAAGAUCAAGCAAGAAAAUCAAAGUCCCCUACCCUUAGGCGGAGAUCUCAAGAGAAAAUUGGAAAAGCCCGCUCUCCUGAUGAGAAGAUGAAAACCGAAGAUAAAGGCAAGGUAAAAGAUAGGAAAAAAUCACCGAUUAUAAAUGAAAGAAGUCGAGAUCGUAAAAAAUCCAGAUCCCCAGUUGACUUAAGAGAUAAAUCCAAAGACAGAAGGUCAAGGUCCAAAGAGCGAAAAUCAAAAAGGUCUGAAAUUGACAAAGAAAAGAAGCCAAUUAAAUCUCCCUCGAAAGAUGCUUCUUCUGGAAAGGAAAAUAGGUCACCUAGUAGAAGACCAGGCCGGAGUCCUAAAAGAAGAAGUUUGUCUCCAAAGCAACGGGAUAAGUCCAGAAGAAGUAGAUCUCCACUUGUAAAUGACAGGCGCUCCAAACAGAGCAAAUCACCCUCUCGAACUCUGUCUCCAGGUAGAAGGGCUAAGAGCCGAUCCAUAGAAAGAAAGCGAAGAGAACCAGAGAGGAGGCGACUCUCUUCUCCAAGAACACGACCUCGAGAUGAUAUCCUCGGUAGACGUGAAAGGUCAAAAGAUGCCAGCCCCAUCAAUAGGUGGUCUCCAACCCGAAGAAGAAGUAGGUCUCCUAUUAGGAGGAGAUCCCGUUCCCCACUGAGACGUAGCAGGUCUCCAAGAAGAAGAAGCAGGUCUCCUCGGAGAAGAGAUAGAGGUCGGAGAAGCAGAUCACGCUUGAGAAGAAGGUCUCGAUCACGAGGUGGUCGUAGACGAAGAAGCAGAAGCAAAGUAAAGGAAGAUAAAUUUAAAGGGAGUCUCUCUGAAGGAAUGAAAGUUGAGCAAGAGUCUUCAUCUGAUGAUAACCUUGAAGAUUUUGAUGUGGAGGAAGAAGAUGAAGAAGCUCUAAUAGAACAGAGACGAAUACAAAGGCAGGCAAUUGUUCAGAAAUACAAGUAUCUUGCUGAAGAUAGCAAUAUAUCAGUGCCGUCUGAGCCAAGCAGCCCCCAGAGCAGUACCAGGACACGGUCUCCUUCUCCAGAUGACAUCCUAGAGCGGGUAGCUGCUGAUGUGAAAGAGUAUGAGCGGGAAAAUGUUGAUACGUUUGAGGCCUCAGUAAAAGCCAAGCAUAACCUAAUGACAGUUGAACAGAAUAAUGGUUCAUCCCAAAAGAAGCUUUUGGCACCUGAUAUGUUUACAGAAUCUGAUGAUAUGUUUGCUGCUUAUUUUGACAGUGCUCGUCUUAGGGCUGCUGGCAUCGGGAAAGAUUUCAAAGAAAAUCCUAACCUCAGAGAUAACUGGACUGAUGCAGAAGGCUAUUACCGUGUGAAUAUAGGUGAAGUCCUAGAUAAACGUUACAAUGUAUAUGGCUACACUGGGCAGGGUGUGUUCAGUAAUGUUGUACGAGCCAGAGAUAAUGCAAGAGCCAAUCAGGAAGUAGCUGUGAAGAUCAUCAGAAACAAUGAGCUCAUGCAAAAGACUGGUUUAAAAGAAUUAGAGUUCUUGAAAAAACUUAAUGAUGCUGAUCCUGAUGACAAGUUUCAUUGCUUGCGACUCUUCAGACAUUUUUAUCACAAGCAACAUCUCUGUCUUGUGUUUGAGCCUCUCAGUAUGAAUUUACGAGAGGUUUUAAAAAAAUACGGUAAGGAUGUUGGUCUUCAUAUUAAAGCUGUAAGAUCCUAUAGUCAGCAGUUGUUCCUGGCAUUGAAACUCCUGAAAAGAUGCAAUAUCCUGCAUGCAGAUAUCAAACCAGACAAUAUUUUGGUUAAUGAAUCAAAAACCAUUUUAAAGCUUUGCGAUUUUGGGUCGGCUUCCCAUGUUGCGGAUAAUGACAUAACACCUUAUCUUGUCAGUAGAUUUUACCGUGCUCCUGAAAUCAUUAUAGGUAAAAGCUAUGACUACGGUAUAGAUAUGUGGUCUGUAGGAUGCACAUUAUAUGAACUCUAUACUGGAAAAAUCUUAUUUCCUGGCAAAACCAAUAACCAUAUGUUGAAGCUUGCUAUGGAUCUCAAAGGAAAGAUGCCAAAUAAGAUGAUUCGGAAAGGUGUAUUCAAAGACCAACAUUUUGAUCAAAAUCUCAACUUCAUGUACAUAGAAGUUGAUAAAGUAACAGAGAGGGAGAAAGUUACUGUCAUGAGCACCAUUAAUCCAACUAAGGACCUGUUGGCUGACUUGAUUGGGUGCCAGCGACUUCCUGAAGACCAACGUAAAAAAGUACACCAGCUAAAGGACUUGUUGGACCAGAUCCUAAUGUUGGACCCAGCUAAACGAAUUAGCAUCAACCAGGCCCUACAGCAUGCAUUCAUCCAGGAAAAAAUUUAAACGAGAUGAAGAAACUCCAAGGGUUUGAGUAAUUAAAUACAAAGACUGAAGAAAUUUCACAGCAGUUUAUUAUUAAUGUAUAUAAACUUAUAAAUAUUUCUCCAGCAAAUUUGAGGAAGCAUGAUAUAUUUGAAUUAACACCAAGGGUGAUAUUUCUUUUAGAAAUGUUAGUUAAUCUGUUUUGUGUCUUAUGUGAAAUUUCACUGUAGAACUGUUUUAAUUGCCAAGACUGCACAAAAUUACAGUGCUAAUGUAUAUGGUUGCAGUUCACAUAAAAGAGACAGAAGCAUCUGUUAUAAUUAGCAGUGCUGGGUGGUUGAUUUGUUUUUAGCAGACUUGGCUUCAUUUUGGUCUUCAGAUACAAUGGCCAGCAUAAAUGCUGUUUAUAUUCACAUUUUCCUAGGUGUGUGUGUGCAGGCCACAGCAGCAUGCCCUUGGUGUAGUCAGUGCCGAAGGGGUCUGUUCCUUCUUGAGCCUGCCUGCAGGGAUGUCUCCUCUUUUAAAGCAGGUUGUGUACAACAUUCAGUACACUGAAGGUAAGCUAAACAUCAACAUCACAGUGUUUUAAGAUGUUAUUUUAUUGGAAUAAUUGACAAAUGAGGGAUAAUUAGCUUUGUGGCAGAAUUCCCUGCAUGUGUGAUAACUGAUCUUGUUUUAUUUUUUGGCAUCGCAACUGUGGCAUAGUUACAGUUUCUGUUCUGUUCAUCACAUUUAAAAUUUGAAGAGUAUGCGCUUGAUGGAUAGAGCGCCUUCAGUGUACUGUUUCUUAAUAACUUUACUUUUUUAAAAAUCAACUUGCUAUAGACUUUAUAUACAUUUUGUUAAAUACAGUUCCUAGUGACAUAGAAACAACGCGUAGUUUUCAUUUACUAAUUACAGAUGUUGAGGCCUACUUCUGAAAGUCCUCAUAUUUAAAAACAAUAGACAACAUAAUGAAAUUUUUAACUAUUUGUAUGUCAUUUUGAAAGUGUACUGCUUUAUGGUAAAAAGUGUUUUCAUUUGUUCAUUGUUUGCAUUAUUUGUGAUCAUGUUGUCUUUCAAUACAGGCAUAAACCUUCCACUCUUGAACAAAGCAGCUGCUUUUUAAAAGCGGUAAUUGCUUCUUUACCUUUUAUUUCUUUUGUAAAUGAAGCUUUUCUUUAAAAAUGUGACUUUAAAGCGUUGUCUAUUACAUAAACAGUUGACACUCACUUAUUGUAAAGUGAAGAUUGUGCUACUGCAUGGGAAGUGGGCCGUGCAGAUGUCUGUAUGUUCUCAGUAUGCAUCACUAGAUAAUAAAGUCUUUUGUGAACAAGGCAUUUGUAGCCAUUUUUAAAAGUUUUUGUCUUCAGUGCUGGUAAGCCAGGUAACUAAAUAGCUAAAAACAGCCUUUGUUUUUCUCCUAAAAGCAACCAAAAGUAUUAAUCUGCUAAAGAUUUAAAUCUAGCCCAGUUGUUUUUCGUUAAUUAAUAAUUAGGGUCCUAAUUAUUUCAUCCAGAAAAAGUCCUACAGAUUAGUCAGCUUUCAGUGUAGUGAGGUUAUUCCUGUAGGUUAUGGGGUGUAAUUCGGGAUUUAACUAAUGUUUCUGCUAUUUUCUCACUUUUCCUUUUGAUGGUGCGGAAAGAGAAAAAGGAAAACGGGGCACAGGCCAUCCGACGCCUUCUCCAAGGGGUCUGAUUUGCUGAGACACCAGCUUCACCUUCUUAACAAGGCACCUAAUUACAACAAGCAUGCACAUUUUGGUGCAUUCAAGAAUGGAAAAUCAGAAUAGCAGCAUUCUCCUGGUGGGUUUUGCUCCAUUUAAAGACAUGAAAUGAACUACACAGCCAGGAAGGUGAUAGAUGAUAUAAUAAGCCACCUAUGAACCUACACCCCGUCUCUUCAUGGUCUAAACUUACUAAAAUAAACCCAAGGUGAUUCCAUCUGCAGGUAGAGUGAAGCCUUUUAAAUAAGGCAUCACAGCACAGCUUCCACCUUAGCGACAUGGACAGUGACUUUCCCACCAUGAUUUAUUUUGCUGACAAUAUGCUGCAUAUUCAAGUCUUUCGUAGUUGUUUUCACUUAAUAGUUAAUGUUUUGAUGCUUCUGGUGAUUUUCAUGGCCUCAUUUUAUAAAAUUAUUUAAAGUUAACCCUCUAGAGACAGUUCAUCUUAUGCCUUCAAAACUGUUGCCUAUUCCUUAAAAAACAAAGUUGCUUGUUACUUGUUCUUUGUGUUUUAGGUGCAGCUCAGUGGAAGAUGAUGACAGCCAGAAGACAUGAGCUAAGGUUUCUGUCCUAUAAAAGAUUUUAACAGUUCUCCAUUUAGUUUGUGUCUGAUUUGAGUUUCUAGCAUUGUGGUUUGGGUGUCAUUGCUGUUGGGUAUUUAGAGUAGUACUGCUGUUGUGCUCAUCUGUACAGUGCUCGUUUAUCAUACUUCCUGCAGCUCCACCCCUGCUCUCCUCUGAAAUCCAAAUUGUGGUCAGAUUUAGCCAUGUAAAAGGCCCUUGGGUGGUGAGAGCCCACAUAACACAUGGUUGUUAAAAUUGGAUCCUACCAGCGACUAGGAAAAUUGCAGCUACCAAGGUAGCAUACCCUUGAAAAUCCUCUGCAAGUUUGGGUGGUGGCACACACCUAUAAUCUCAACAUUGGGGAGAGGGACAUAGGAAGGAUCACGAGUUCAGGAGCCUAGGUUGAGACCCUGUUUGUUGUUUUCGGGGGGGGCGGUUUGUGUGUGUGUUUGUUUUUUUUAAACACAGCUUCAGACAAAUGCAGAGGAAUAGCCUGGAAUUUUCAGAAUACUAUUAAACUCCUUUAGUGGCUAUUCUUCAGUUUGUUUUUUAGCAGCCUGGCUUUUAAUGGCAUGGUCUUAAAAUAGUUACUAAUCAGACCGCUGUCAGUUUUUUUUUUUUCUGGGAAAUGAGAAAGGUGAUAUUGUAGAUUUUUAAAACUUGGCUCUCAGUGACCUGCUUUAAAGAAUUCUAUGAACUUUGUUCUUUUUGACUUUGUAAUUUCACUGAGUCCUAACUUUGGAGUUCUUUAGAACCUUGGUUAGAUUAAGGUCAUUUAGUGAAUGAUCCUUACCUUAUACUCCUGUUUCUGAAUAACACUUUAUGGCAAAAAUUAUAUCAAGUGAUUGUCAGUCUUAUGGGUUCACAAAAAUCUCUACUCAUAGCUCUCAAAGAGGUGAGAGCUUUCCUAGGGUUAGAUGAAUGGACAGCCAGAAAGCAUCCCUCCUAGAUGGUAGGGCUCUUGGCAGACUGUUGCUGGAACCAUCAGAAUUGAGGGAGUUUUGAGGUCUGAACAGGAAGAGCAUCUUCCUCCCAGUGUUCCCAGCACUGUUUGCUCUUAAGCUCUGAUGCCCAAUAGUGUCCUGUGUCUUUACCCCCAGAGGCUUUGCUCUACUUUUCUCAGCUCUCUUAUGUUUAAACAUAAAAAUAAUGUGAUUUUUAUCUUGCCAUUGUAAUGACCACUUUUUUCCUAACAAAAGUAAAUACUCAGGACAUUUUUAGAGUGCAUACUGUAUAGUAGAGCUAGUGAAAUAUUAGGGUCACAGUUUGGCCUAGAUUUGUAUUCUUCCUGUUCUACCCUAGCCGAAGAGGUAAACAUCAACUCCGAAGAAAAACAAGGGAAUUAAACCUAUAUUAAAAUCUAGGCUAAACGUUUAGAGAUUGACCUUUUAAUUUUUGAAGAUGAGAUUGUGUAGUGAAACAUGUAAUUUCCUUCUUAUGGCACCAUUAGCAAUUGGACUCUAUAAGUACAUUUCUUAGUAGUGUUUUAGGGCCAGUGUAUAUUCACCGUGAAUUUAUUCUCAUACAUGGAAUAUCCUAGAUAGAUAUUCACUGCAAAUUCAUUUGUACUUUUUACAUGUCAAUGCUAUACACAAAACUGACUGUAAACUGUUUUCUGGUGACUUUGAGCUAUCAUUGUGGCAUCCUUACUUUCUCUUCUUCUGUAUAUAGGGUAAGGGACUGUUCUGAAGAACCUUUCCAUUUAGUGAUCAAGAUACGGAAGCUGCUCUCUGAAAAUGCUUGAUGUAUAUCCUAACUGUCCAUGGUAUCAUUUGAAUUGUAACUUGCAUUUUAGCAGCACAUGUUCCCAAACUUACUAGGAAGCUUAAUAAAGUAUGCCUUUUGGUAC